rnacentral:rRNA from 1 species
GAUGAACGUUAGCGGGAGGCUUAAUACAUGCAAGUCGAGCGGUAAGUUUUUAUAGCAAUAUGAAGACCUAGAGCGGCGCACGGGCGAGUAACGCGUACACGACCUGGCCUAAACUGGGGGAUAGCCUUGGGAAACUGAGAGUAAUCCCGCAUGUGAUUAUGUUACUGAUGGUGAUAUAAUUAAAGCUUCGGCGGUUUAGGAUGGGUGUGCGUCUGAUUAGCUAGUUGGUAGUGUAACGGACUACCAAGGCGAUGAUCAGUAGGGGGCGUGAGAGCGUGACCCCCCACACGGGUACUGAGACACGGACCCGACUCCUACGGGAGGCAGCAGUAAGGAAUAUUGGUCAAUGCCCGGAAGGGUGAACCAGCCAUCCCGCGUGAAGGAUGAAGGGGCUCUGCCUUGUAAACUUCUUUUGUAUGGGGCGAAAAAGGGGAUUUAUCCUCGACUGACGGUACCAUAAGAAUAAGCACCGGCUAACUCCGUG